UACGUAGGGCGCAAGCGUUGUCCGGAAUUAUUGGGCGUAAAGAGCUCGUAGGCGGUUUGUCGCGUCUGCUGUGAAAACCUAAGGCUCAACCUUGGGCUUGCAGCGGGUACGGGCAGACUAGAGUGCGGUAGGGGUGACUGGAAUUCCUGGUGUAGCGGUGGAAUGCGCAGAUAUCAGGAGGAACACCGGUGGCGAAGGCGGGUCUCUGGGCCGUAACUGACGCUGAGGAGCGAAAGCAUGGGGAGCGAACAGG
rnacentral:rRNA from 1 species